CCCUGGGUGGUGCAAACUGUUAUCACGCUCAGCUGCUAACUGAAAGGUUGGUGGUUCAAGUCCACCCAGAGGUA
rnacentral:tRNA from 1 species